rnacentral:tRNA from 1 species
GGCCAGUUAGCUCAGUGGGUUGAGCACAGUGCUGUAAACACCGAGGUCCUGGGUUCAGUUCCUGUUUGGUCU